UACGUAGGGGGCGAGCGUUGUCCGGAUUUAUUGGGCGUAAAGAGCUCGUAGGCGGUUUGGCAAGUCGGGUGUGAAAACUCCGGCUCAACUCGGAGACGCCACUCGAUACUGCUAUGACUCGAGUCCAGUAGGGGAGUGCGGAAUUCCUGGUGUAGCGGUGAAAUGCGCAGAUAUCAGGAGGAACACCGGUGGCGAAGGCGGCACUCUGGGCCGGAACUGACGCUGAGGAGCGAAAGCGUGGGGAGCGAACAGG
rnacentral:rRNA from 1 species